CAUAAGUCAUUGCUGAGCUGCCUGUGUAGAUAAUUGUUUAUGCUCUUAUCCUUUUAUGUUCUUAUCCUUCUAUCAUAGCCUGUUCAUCUAAUUGCUGUUGUCAUCUAAUUGCUGAUGUUUUAACCCAACCAGGCAUAACUGUGUAUCCUUAUAUCUUGUUUGCUAGCCAGUUCCUUUUUUUUAAUUUUUAAUUUUUUUUUAAAUUUUUAAUUUUUGUGGGUACAUAAGUGGAUGUAUGUAUUUAUGAGUUACAUGAGAUAUCGAUACAGGUACUUACACUGUGAAAUUUUAUGAUGGAGUAGUUCAGACUGUCAAACAUAUUCAUGUCAAAGCUUUUUCCAAAGAUCAGAAUAUUGUGGGUAAUGCUAGGCCUAAAGAAACAGAUCACAAAAGUCUUCCAUCAUCUCCUGAUAAACGAGAGAAGUUUAAAGAACAGAGAAAAGCAACAGUGAAUGUGAAGAAAGACAAAGAAGAUAAACCCUUAAAGACAGAAAAGCGACCCAAGCAGCCUGAUAAAGAAGGAAAGUUAAUCUGUUCUGAAAAGGGGAAAGUGUCAGAGAAAAGUCUUCCCAAGAACGAGAAGGA
rnacentral:sRNA from 1 species